rnacentral:rRNA from 1 species
UGGGGAAUAUUGCACAAUGGGCGCAAGCCUGAUGCAGCCAUGCCGCGUGUGUGAAGAAGGCCUUCGGGUUGUAAAGCACUUUCAGCGAGGAGGAAGGUGGUGAACUUAAUACGUUCAUCAAUUGACGUUACUCGCAGAAGAAGCACCGGCUAACUCCGUGCCAGCAGCCGCGGUAAUACGGAGGGUGCAAGCGUUAAUCGGAAUUACUGGGCGUAAAGCGCACGCAGGCGGUUUGUUAAGUCAGAUGUGAAAUCCCCGGGCUCAACCUGGGAACUGCAUUUGAAACUGGCAAGCUAGAGUCUCGUAGAGGGGGGUAGAAUUCCAGGUGUAGCGGUGAAAUGCGUAGAGAUCUGGAGGAAUACCGGUGGCGAAGGCGGCCCCCCUGGACGAAGACUGACGC